GUCUACGGCCAUACCAACUGGAACAUGCCUGCUCUCAUUUGAUCUCAGCAACUAAGCAGGGGCAGGCCUGGUUAGUACUUGGAUGGGAGGAAGACAUUUUAGCAUAGGUU
rnacentral:rRNA from 1 species